rnacentral:rRNA from 1 species
GACGAACGCUGGCGGCGUGCUUAACACAUGCAAGUCGAACGGAAAGGCCCUGCUUUUGUGGGGUGCUCGAGUGGCGAACGGGUGAGUAACACGUGAGUAACCUGCCCUUGACUUUGGGAUAACUUCAGGAAACUGGGGCUAAUACCGUAUAGGAGCUCCUGCUGCAUGGUGGGGGCUGGAAAGUUUCGGCGGGUGGGGAUGGACUCGCGGCUUAUCAGCUUGUUGGUGGGGGAGUUGCUUACCAAGGCUUUGACGGGUAGCCGGCCUGAGAGGGUGACCGGCGACAUUGGGACUGAGAUACGGCGCAGAGGCCUACGGGAGGCAGCGGUGGGGAAUAUUACACAAUGGGAGGAAGUCUGAUGCAGAAGCGCUGCGUGCGGGAUGACGGCCUUCGGGUUGUAAACCGCUGUAGCCUGUGACGAAGCGUGAGUGACGGUAAUGGGUAAAGAAGCACCGGCUAACUACGUG